UUAGAGUUUGAAUCCUGGCUCAGAUUGAACGCUGGCGGCAGGCUUAACACAUGCAAGUCGAGCGGAGAUGAGGUGCUUGCACCUUAUCUUAGCGGCGGACGGGUGAGUAAUGCUUAGGAAUCUGCCUAUUAGUGGGGGACAACAUUCCGAAAGGAAUGCUAAUACCGCAUACGUCCUACGGGAGAAAGCAGGGGAUCUUCGGACCUUGCGCUAAUAGAUGAGCCUAAGUCGGAUUAGCUAGUUGGUGGGGUAAAGGCCUACCAAGGCGACGAUCUGUAGCGGGUCUGAGAGGAUGAUCCGCCACACUGGGACUGAGACACGGCCCAGACUCCUACGGGAGGCAGCAGUGGGGAAUAUUGGACAAUGGGGGGAACCCUGAUCCAGCCAUGCCGCGUGUGUGAAGAAGGCCUUAUGGUUGUAAAGCACUUUAAGCGAGGAGGAGGCUACUGAGACUAAUACUCUUGGAUAGUGGACGUUACUCGCAGAAUAAGCACCGGCUAACUCUGUGCCAGCAGCCGCGGUAAUACAGAGGGUGCGAGCGUUAAUCGGAUUUACUGGGCGUAAAGCGUGCGUAGGCGGCUUUUUAAGUCGGAUGUGAAAUCCCCGAGCUUAACUUGGGAAUUGCAUUCGAUACUGGGAAGCUAGAGUAUGGGAGAGGAUGGUAGAAUUCCAGGUGUAGCGGUGAAAUGCGUAGAGAUCUGGAGGAAUACCGAUGGCGAAGGCAGCCAUCUGGCCUAAUACUGACGCUGAGGUACGAAAGCAUGGGAGCAA
rnacentral:rRNA from 1 species